UACGUAGGUGACAAGCGUUGUCCGGAUUUACUGGGCGUAAAGGGCGCGUAGGCGGCCUUCUAAGUCGAACGUGAAAUCCCCGGGCUCAACCCGGGAACUGCGUCCGAUACUGGAAGGCUUGAAUCCGGGAGAGGGAUGCGGAAUUCCAGGUGUAGCGGUGAAAUGCGUAGAUAUCUGGAGGAACACCGGUGGCGAAGGCGGCAUCCUGGACCGGCAUUGACGCUGAGGCGCGAAAGCCAGGGGAGCAAACGGG
rnacentral:rRNA from 1 species